GUUCAAAAUCACUGACCUCAAUAUUUUUCCCGCCACUAUCUCUAUUUUGAACAACACCACCUCACGAUCUUGAUCCCCCAUUCGAUCGCCUCCAAUCAUCCCUAGUUUCCUCGAGCCUCGCAUUCUCAAUGUUAGCUUUUCCGGAAACCUCAGUGACUUUCAAUGUGAAAUUGCAUGCCUGUAUGUACGCUGCAUUUUGAUAAAUUCAGGCAGGCCUCUGUUUCUUCCUUCUAGAUGAUGUGCACCGACACCACCUGUACCUUUACCCGGGGCUGUUCUCCAGUUUGACAUGCCAUAAAAAAGGUACCAGACCGGAGCUAGGAGCGUGGGUUAGACUCCUUUUUUGUCAAGCCAACCACUGUG